AUUGAACGCUGGCGGCAGGCCUAACACAUGCAAGUCGAACGGUAACAGGAAACAGCUUGCUGUUUCGCUGACGAGUGGCGGACGGGUGAGUAAUGUCUGGGGAACUGCCUGAUGGAGGGGGAUAACUACUGGAAACGGUAGCUAAUACCGCAUAACGUCGCAAGACCAAAGAGGGGGACCUUCGGGCCUCUUGCCAUCGGAUGUGCCCAGAUGGGAUUAGCUAGUAGGUGGGGUAACGGCUCACCUAGGCGACGAUCCCUAGCUGGUCUGAGAGGAUGACCAGCCACACUGGAACUGAGACACGGUCCAGACUCCUACGGGAGGCAGCAGUGGGGAAUAUUGCACAAUGGGCGCAAGCCUGAUGCAGCCAUGCCGCGUGUAUGAAGAAGGCCUUCGGGUUGUAAAGUACUUUCAGCGGGGAGGAAGGGAGUAAAGUUAAUACCUUUACUCAUUGACGUUACCCGCAGAAGAAGCACCGGCUAACUCCGUG
rnacentral:rRNA from 1 species